rnacentral:lncRNA from 1 species
AAGUCCGUCCUCCUCGCCCUUGAGCGAGUGCAGGCGAGAAGAGAAGAAGUCUUCCUCGCCUUUAAGCGAGUGCAGGCAAGAACAGAGGAAGUCCUCCUCGCCUUUGAGUGAGUGCAGGCAAGAACAGGUUAAAAGUCCUCAGUGCAUCCAGGGGGGAGGAGAUGUACACCCCGGGCAAAUUGAGGCACCAGAGAAAGCCCUUCUCACCUCAGAGUGAGUUCAGGCAAGAUGAAGCUGGAAGGCCAA